rnacentral:sRNA from 1 species
AUUAAAUUUAAUUAAUUAAAUUAGUAUUUGACUUUUUAAUCCUUAAAGAGAUAAAUUAAUUACUCUUUAAAAUUUUAUUUCUAAUGGCAUACCUAUGUAAUUACUUACACAAAUU